rnacentral:rRNA from 1 species
UACGUAGGCAGCAAGCGUUGUUCGGAAUUACUGGGCGUAAAGAGUGUGUAGGCGGUGUCCCAAGUCUGGUGUGAAAUCUCCCGGCUUAACUGGGAGGGUGCAUUAGAAACUGGAAUGCUAGAGGAUGGGAGAGGUAAGCGGAAUUCCUGGUGUAGCGGUGAAAUGCGUAGAUAUCAGGAGGAACACCUGUGGUGUAGACAGCUUACUGGACCAUUUCUGACGCUGAGACACGAAAGCGUGGGUAGCAAACAGG